UCGGGAAUUUUGGGCAAUGGGGGAAACCCUGACCCAGCAACGCCGCGUGAAGGAUGAGGUAUUUCGGUAUGUAAACUUCGAAAGAAUAGGAAGAAUAAAUGACGGUACUAUUUAUAAGGUCCGGCUAACUACGUGCCAGCAGCCGCGGUAAUACGUAGGGACCAAGCGUUGUUCGGAUUUACUGGGCGUAAAGGGCGCGUAGGCGGCAUGACAAGUCACUUGUGAAAUCUCUGGGCUUAACCCAGAACGGCCAAGUGAUACUGUCGCGCUAGAGUGCAGAAGGGGCAAUCGGAAUUCUUGGUGUAGCGGUGAAAUGCGUAGAUAUCAAGAGGAACACCUGAGGUGAAGACGGGUUGCUGGGCUGACACUGACGCUGAGGCGCGAAAGCCAGGGGAGCAAACGGGAUUAGAUACCCACGUAGUCCCUGAGCGGGCUGGCAAGGCGCAU
rnacentral:rRNA from 1 species